rnacentral:rRNA from 1 species
GACGAACGCUGGCGGCGCGCUUAACACAUGCAAGUCGAACGGAAAGGCCCUGCUUUUGUGGGGUGCUCGAGUGGCGAACGGGUGAGUAACACGUGAGUAACCUGCCCUUGACUUUGGGAUAACUUCAGGAAACUGGGGCUAAUACCGGAUAGGAGCUCCUGCUGCAUGGUGGGGGUUGGAAAGUUUCGGCGGUUGGGGAUGGACUCGCGGCUUAUCAGCUUGUUGGUGGGGUAGUGGCUUACCAAGGCUUUGACGGGUAGCCGGCCUGAGAGGGUGACCGGCCACAUUGGGACUGAGAUACGGCCCAGACUCCUACGGGAGGCAGCAGUGGGGAAUAUUGCACAAUGGGCGGAAGCCUGAUGCAGCAACGCCGCGUGCGGGAUGACGGCCUUCGGGUUGUAAACCGCUUUCGCCUGUGACGAGGCGUGAGUGACGGUAAUGGGUAAAGAAGCACCGGCUAACUACGUG